rnacentral:rRNA from 1 species
AGAGUUUGAUCCUGGCUCAGGACCGAACGCUGGCGGCGUGCUAUACAUGCAAGUAGAACGCUGAAGACUUUUAGCUUGCUAAAGUUGGAAGAGUUGCGAACGGGUGAGUAACGCGUAGGUAACCUGCCUACUAGCGGGGGAUAACUAUUGGAAACGAUAGCUAAUACCGCAUAACAGCAUUUAACACAUGUUAGAUGCUUGAAAGGAGCAAUUGCUUCACUAGUAGAUGGACCUGCGUUGUAUUAGCUAGUUGGUGAGGUAACGGCUCACCAAGGCGACGAUACAUAGCCGACCUGAGAGGGUGAUCGGCCACACUGGGACUGAGACACGGCCCAGACUCUACGGGAGGCAGCAGUAGGGAAUCUUCGGCAAUGGGGGCAACCCUGACCGAGCAACGCCGCGUGAGUGAAGAAGGUUUUCGGAUCGUAAAGCUCUGUUGUAAGAGAAGAACGUGUGUGAGAGUGGAAAAUUCACACAGUGACGGUAACUUACCAGAAAGGGACGGCUAACUACGUGCCAGCAGCCGCGGUAAU